rnacentral:rRNA from 1 species
UACAGAGGUCUCAAGCGUUGUUCGGAUUCAUUGGGCGUAAAGGGUGCGUAGGCGGCGCGGUAAGUCGGGUGUGAAAUUUCGAGGCUUAACUUCGAAACUGCAUUCGAUACUGCCGUGCUUGAGGACUGGAGAGGAGACUGGAAUUUACGGUGUAGCGGUGAAAUGCGUAGAUAUCGUAAGGAAGACCAGUGGCGAAGGCGGGUCUCUGGACAGUUCCUGACGCUGAGGCACGAAGGCCAGGGGGAGCAAACGGGG